AGUCGCUGGCCCUGAGGGCUUCAGAUCCACAGUUCUCAGCACAGUCAUCCAUUAGGAUCUGGUGGCAUCAGCACUCGGAGCUGCAGAAGGCUUUCUCUCCCCUACAAUUCGAGGUCAAGAACAAACAGAUGCGAACCCAUCAAGCCUCUUGUCACAGAGGCAGCACCUGCACAAGAGCGAAGCCGGCAGUCAAAUCAGAGAUUGAAAUGAAGUGAUUCCGCCACUGCUCAAGAAGUCAGCCGCCGGCGCCGGCGCCGGCGCCUCAUCGGCUUCCACAAGCCAGCCGCCGCCGCCGUCACCGAAGUACACGCGCUUCCAGAUGCUGCGGCCGGCGCCGUCGUUGC